rnacentral:lncRNA from 1 species
ACCACGAUAUGAAAUCUGCAAUAAUUUUGGUUCUGUCAACUUUUUUCCCCGGCCUACAAUCAUUUUCGUUUCCCCUCACACCACCCCUAGCUCUAUAAAUGGCCAUUGAUUUGCCGAGAAAUGCCCAGGACUUCUUCAGAACAUAUCAGCAGCAGUUAGCAUUUGGUUCAACCUCUCCCAUGGCUGAAGAGCAAACCAAGACCACCAACCUUGCCAACCAAGAGACCAGUGAGGUGAAGAACGAAGUGGAGGAGGUUGCUGCUCCAACAAAAACUCAGGAAGAAGAAGAGAAGAGUUCCACUGGCGAGGAACAGGAGGCUGCAGAAGCAAAGGCUACCUCCAAGCAGACAUUUCAGGCGACCAGUGUGUCUGUGUAAUCUAGCCUAGCAGCUAAGCCUGCCACUUUCUUAUGAUGCACCAAGUGAUAUAUAUAUAUAUAUAUGAUAAUGUGUGUGGAAUAAGUUGAGCUGCUUUAAGGUGGUCUUGUUCUGUGUCUGUGAGAAAGGUCUAUCUAAGGUGAUCUGUGGUGAGUCCAGAUGGAGGUGUGCUUGUCUUCUUGACUCGAGUGUGCUUUUUAUGUAUGAAGUAUAUCUAAUUUUGUUUUUGUGACUACGUGAGUAUAAAUUCAUCUUGGGUUGUCUCUAGGUUCCUUUUUCUUUCUUAAUUUAUCCUCCCCUUUGUGACUUAAAAAAGUGAGAGACAGAGUCGCUGUUACACGACUCGCAGUGAUAUUAUUCUGGUGGUUUGGCUUGGUUCCUAAAGUUUUAGGCAAAAUAGUAAAACUCUCUCGCUGAUCAGGUGACUACCGUUUGCUGUCUACAAUCAUAAGAUUUUGACGAUCAUAAGAUUUUGAACACACUAUACUUGCAAGUAGGCAAAGAGAAAUGCCCAAAAGAACUAGGGGAAAUUGCUUAGCGGACUAAAGGAAACAGUAACUUAGGGACUAGAAAUUAAAGAUCCAUGCAGCGGUGGAUCGGAAGUUUUUUUUUGAUCAACGGGACUUUUGUUAUAGUGGAGUCUUUAGAGGGAUGGAAAAGUAAUUUUCCAAAAGAACUACCUUAGGAGAACUUAUGAUAAAAGGGUGGUUCUAUAUACACCCCCCCUAUUGCUCAGGACACCCCCCAAAAAUUAAAAAAAAAUUAAAAUACUCUCUACACCCCCCCAUUUGCUAAGGACACCCCUAAANNNNNNNNNNNNNNNNNNNNAACGGAGGAGGAGAAGGGGGGGUGUAUGAGAAAAUUUCAAGGGCAAUAUGGUAAUUACACUAAAGGUUAGUUUGGGUAUUUUUUUUGGUUUUUGGGGGGUGUCCUGAGCAAUAGGGGGGGUGUAUAUAGAACUACCCAUGAUAAAAAUAUGUGUGAAAGUUGCACAAGAAUUUGGGUUGAGCUACUGUUUGGCAGGCUUUUUUUUAGUACGCAUGAAAGGAAGCAUGCAUGGAAGAUUGUAAUGUACCAUUUAGCCAGAGAUUCUUCUUUCCAUUGGUUAUAAAACUUGAUAAGUGAACAUUGGCAUGUUUCCUUAAAAAAAAAAAACAGAACAUUGCCUUGUUUAUCUUUAGUGGAAGGUAGAAGUGUUAGAUAUGGCCACUGGAGUUUGUGUUAGUGUCAGCCGCAAAAUUCGGAUCUUGACAUAAUCUUUGAGGCUAGAAGACUUUUAAAACAACAGAGAUAAGUUUACUAAAAUAUAUAUACGAAAAAGAAAAAAAAACUCCUCAAGAUAAAUGAGUUUCACAUGAAAAAUAAUUAUCUAACUGAUGUUUAUAUUUCGUAAAAUAUAAAGAAUAAGUUCUUUUAAAAAAGAGUUUAUUUUAUUUUUAUUUUUUAAAUGUAUUCUAGAGAAACAUGUUUUAUGGAUAUAACAAAAAAAAAAAAAAAACUGGAUGCCUCAAUCCCUCCCGGUGGUGCCCAUGAAGAUAAAUGAGGAGUAUGAAGCCUACGUAGUGGCAGCUAAAGCUUUACCACGUCCUGCAGUAUUGGAGGCCGAUUUGAUAGCCAAAUAGGCGGGCUCAUGCUACUAUGGUACACCAUACUAUCCCAAACCAGACGACAAGCCGUAUCAUACCAUAUUGAUUCGAUACUAGUAUUUGAUAUGGAUGGCAUACCGUCAUUCGGUACGUAAAAAAACUUAUGUACUAUAUCAUAUCGAUAUUGUACUAGUGUAGGGUACGGCUAAGUCCGAUACCAAGACGGUAAAUUUUUGAGAGAAAAACUAUAUAUUCUACCAUAGUUUAUUGGACACAAGCUCCUCAUCCGCAGGCUCUUACCACUUCUGUCAGAUGGAUAUUAUAUCUGGUAUUUGGCAGUCCAAGAGCCCAUAUCUCAUGUCCCACAAAUGAAGUAUAGACAAUCCAUCAUUUUGACUCAUGCGAUACAAUUGUUCAAGAACUACAGAAUUAAUUGGAGUUAUUUAUGAGUAUAAUAUAUAGGGAUCAUAUAUAGGAAUGGUCUUGGAGGAGACACGUACGUGAGAUUAGAAGUGGUUGGGGUGCUUUAUUUAUCUAAUCAUCUAGCGAAAAGUCUGCAUUUUCUCCACCCCUGUAUUAGCUCAUAGAUGUAGACGACGCUUUUGGAAAUGCCUGGUAGCCAGGGGACAGCAUGAUUUUUUUUUUUUGGUACAACAGCGGCUCACAUGCAACCCAAAUAAAACUGCUGAAGUGAUGAACCGCAAAGAGGACAACUAAUCAACAACACUAUUCACCUCUCUGUAGACAUGUGUGAUCUGAUAGGAGCCACACUCUUUCAGAAGUCUACAGAUAUCGUGGAGCAGCAGCCUUCCACUAGUAGCACAUCUCCGACCCGAACCCACUUGAUCACUUCUCGUGUCAAAAUGCAUCUUUUCUAAUAAAAUUAUGUUUCAAAUAAAAACAUCACCUCUCUCUCUCUCUCUCCUCUCUACUAUCACGAUGCCAAUUGUUUGGGCGGUCAUUGAUGGUUUCUGUGUCUUCUUUUGCACCCGAAUGCCAUCGGUAUGCAAGAUCCAAGAAAAAUUAUACACCUUGGCCGACGUCCCUGCGUUGGUCCAUACUUGGGGUUGGGCCCUUGCAUGCAUGCAGCCAACUUGGGAUGGGUGGCCCACCAUGCCUGUUUUUGUCCAAGUAUAAAUAAUUUGAUUGCAUUCUCCCUAUAGUCUCCCUCAAGGGAGCCAGGUAUAGCCAUGCCAAAACUAAGCCUUUCUUCUGUUUUCUAAAUAAGGAAGCAUUGCCCAUGCACAUGGAGUAGUAGUCUUUAGAAUUAAUUACUGGAAUUAGAAGAUAAAUUGAAGGCCAGGAAGCCAGUGUUAUUUCGGCAUAGCAUUCUAACCUAAUUGUCGUAAAACUAAAAGGACAAUGGAGAGAUGCAAUUCUUUAACCAAAACAUUAAUUGAACACUUGUUAACAAAUGUUUAUGGCCGAUUGAAUUCUUAGUACUCUCAACAACAAAUAUCCUCAAUAAAAUUAGUGGGUUUCCCUGUCUUUUUCUAUUCAAAAAAAAAAUCGGCAGCCAAUGAUUUUCCUCCUUCUGAAUCAUUUAGAGCCUGUUUGGAUUUUCCUUCUAAACUCAACAAGUCUUUAUUUUAUUUUAUCUGCACAGAAUUCGGGCUUAACCCACUCCAAAGUUAUUCCUAGAUAUUUUAUAAAUAUAUACCUAACACAUUGUAUAAUUUUGCGAUUUUGCUGAUUUUACUGUCUCAAUCCACAGACAGUACUGUCUAAUUAUCUAAACAGACUCUUAAUAUAUUUAAAAAGAUGGGAUCACAGACAGUAACUAAUUACGAGCUCACAUAUGGAUUAAACUACCUAGUAGUGAUAAUUACAGUGCAAACUUCACUCCGUAACUGCCAAUAAUAGAGUCCGCAAGAAGCUCCAUAGUAAGAAUGCAACUAUUGGUUGGGGUAUUUUUUUUCUAAGGAAAACUUUAUCAGAUGGCACCACAAUCAUGCAUCUUAUACAUAGACGUGGCCAUGUAACAUCUACAUGUCAUGCGUGGCCACCAAUCAAUGUGCAUUACCUACCACAUGAAUUACACCAACUUGGUCAUGCCAUAUGGCAUGGAGCUUUUCGGGACCAUGCUAUUCGGCCUCAUAGCAUUUCUCGAAUAAUGGGUUAUAUUCCGAAAUAUAUUCCACUUUUGAGUCUUCCUUCUCUUGCAUAAUGGGACAGCUGAGGAAGGGACCAGGAUAUCAACUCUGCACUCAAUUAUUUUGUUUGGGAUAAUGCCCAUAAAUAGCCAUUGAUUUGCCGAGAAAUCAACGAGACUUCUUCACACCAUAAUCAUUAGCAGUAAGCAUUAUAUUUAGUUCAACCUCUUCCAUGGCUGAAGGGCAAACCAAGCCCACCAACCUUGCAAACCAAGAGGCCGUUGACGUGAAGAACAAAGUGGAGGAGGUCGCGGCUCCACCAAAAACUCAGACACCAGAAGAGGAGAGUUCGGCUGGCGAGAAGCCAGAGGCAGAAGGAGCUAAGGGUCCCUCCGAGCACAAAUUUCAGACGAGUAUUUUGUCUCUGUAAUUUAGCACAGCAGCUAAGCUUGUCCAGGUUUUAUCAUGCACCAAGUGACAUGUAAUAAUGCGUGUGGAAUAAGUUGAGCUGCUCUAAGGUGGUCUUGUUCCGUGUGUCCGUGAGAAAAGGUCUAUCUGAGGUGAUCUGUGGUGAGUACAAAUGGAGGUGUGUGUUUGUCUUCUUGCCUUGAGUGUGCUUUAUGUAUGAAGUGUAUCUAAAUUUAUGUGGGGUUGUUGCCCGUUUCCUUUUUCUUCCUUUAUCAUCCCCUUUAUGACUUAAAGAGUGACUGAUAAAGUCACUGUUACACGAGACAUUUUUUUAUUCUGGUGGAUUUGGCUUGGAUCCUAAAGUUUUGAGCAAAUAAGUAGUAGACUCUUUUGCUGGACAUAUGACUGUUCUAUAUCACUGCAGUGUUAGAGACCGAGUUAGACAGCAUAGUCUCAUAGUCUCACAUUGACGAAUAAAAAAAGGUACCACAUAGGUUUAUUAGCCCGAGCCAUCCCUUCUUCCAAUAGCUUAAGUUUUUGUAUUGUUGAAUCCAUGGUAAAUAGUAUCAGAGCCGUCACAAUGUUUAGUAGUCAUAGAAGUCCCUCACUGAGUUACCGAGGUCGUGGAGGAUCCAGUAGGUUGCCUAAGAUCUAGGCCAUGAAUGUCUCUUCUCUCUUAAGUAGAAGUCAACCAUGAGGAGGACUUUAAAAUUGUCAUAAUCUCACAUUGACUAAUAAAAAAAUGUCACAUAAGUUUAUAUGAAUCCUACUCUUUUCAAGAGCUUAAGUUUUUGGAUUGUCGGACUAUGACAAUAAGUAGACUUGUGCUAAGUUCUUGAUGAGUUACAGACCUCCUAUACAAGUAGGCACUCUUUCUACCUUAGUUUCUUGGAUACCUGCAGCUCUUCGUACACACGCAUAAGCCACUUCUUUCUCAUGGAUAUCUGGUCAUUUUGCCUCUUUUUCUCUUUCCUGGACGCAUGAUCUUCCUUUCUGACCCCCUUUAUGUUGUUGGUAUAGGCAGAUAAGGGUGGCCGUGGUUUUUCUCUUUUUUUUUUUUGCUAAGGGGGGUGGCCGUGUGUUUGAUAGAGUUUUUGUAAAACUCCUCUCUUACCAAAAAAAAGGACCAACGUAGCGGAAACAAGAUUAAGCAUCAAUUUAGCUAUUGAUUUUAUACUUAAUAAUUAAAGAAUUGCUUUUAAGAUAAUAAAAGCAAAAAUUAAGAAUACUCCAGUCGCAUCCAUCUAUUUAGUAACUGGCGGUUCUGAAUUAGAUUUUUGGACAAUGCAUCCCACAAUCAUGAACAAAUAAUAGAUCUGCUCUCUGUUUUCUCAAAAAAACAAAAACAAAACUACGCCACUGUAAAUGCCUUGAUUGAGAUAAUAAUAGCCAACAUAUUUUAAGUGCAUCAUACCAGACAAUAUAAUAUACUGCUUAAAACCAGUACUUAAACCAAGAUUAAAUCUAUCAACAAGGAUUCACUGCUUGGAUCAAUAUAUAGAAAUACAAAAACGAACAGAUUUGGAUUUGAAGCAUACCAGAACACACACACCAAGAGGCCACUCCAGCUAUCAAGAGAUUUGGGGUCUCUUUCCAGUCAGCAGCCAACUGAUUUGAAAUCAAAAAAGACAUCCACAACGAAC